rnacentral:lncRNA from 12 species
GGACGUAACUAAAACUUCCACAAUGUAGGAUGAAGAUAUUUACACUUCUCGGUUUAAUCAGCUACUUGUGUUUGGCUGGCAGGUCUGCCAUUCUUACCAUUUAGAGGGGCUUAAAAGAAAGGCACCUAUUCAUGAUAUUCACAGGUAUUAACAAGGCAGAGAGAAAGAGAGAGAUAUGCAUGAAACAACAAAUACAAUCAGUAAAUGACGUCCAGAUGGCAGCAGAAAGGUGAAAGAACUUCAAUUACAUAGUGAGAUGCAUUUCUGUUUUUUGUUGUAAUAAAUAAUAAUAAAUAGUAGAUGUAGUGAUGAAGUGGGGAUCAUCACUACAUCAAAUGCAGACCACUUUGAAUUUGGCUUCUAUCUAAAUGAUUAAUUUACCCCAAAAAGUAAUUCUGU